rnacentral:lncRNA from 1 species
AUGACCUGCCUGCUAAGUCAUUCGUUACAGUUGUAUAAACUGAUAAAAAUGGGCGUAACACAGGUCGAAACCCAAACAAGGAUCGAAGAAAGGCUUUUCCCGUCAUUUCUAGAUUUAAAAUUAUGGAAUCCGGUCGAAAAAGAUGAAAACACCAAGCAAUGGGAACCUCUCUUCCACAAGAGUAAAUUCUUACGAUCAUCAUCCCUGAAUAGAAUUAAACAGUUCCCAGCCUAUCUUUGCAAUCAAAGUUCUUCUGAUAUUUUGAUCUGGAUUCACGCAGCAAAGGCUGCACUAGCUCACACAUUUAAAUCAGCAAAUAAACAGUUCCAAUCAUUAGCUUUCAUUUUGGCUGUCUACUCUGCUCUGUUCCUUUUAGCGGCUCAACUGUGUGCCUUUGUUGUCAUUUUAUCAUCUGCACCCAUGCCAACCGGUUUAAUUUUCAUGUACGGCAACAUUGCGUGUCUUUUCGCCUUAGGCCUCUCCAUUCUCCCACAUCAAAACCAAAACGCUAUGAAGAAAAGAAAACAAAGCUAAUUGUCAACAGAUUGAAGGAUGAAGCAAAACUUAGACUUCAGCCUCAACCUCUUACAAAAUCACCUACCUACACUGUAUAUAUUGUAAAUUAAGUUGUUUAAGUCAGUCACAACUAUAAAUUGUGAUCAUCCUUCCCUCGUGUUUUGAUCGCUAAUACAUUAUUAGUUGAUUUACUCAUGUUGAUUCAUGAAGACUGUAUAUAGAGUGUUUUUAAUUGUAUUACUUAAUUAAUUUAUUUAUUUAAUUUAUUCUAUUCAUAACGAAUUAAUUUUACGUCAUAGAGACUGCGAUUGAAUGACUGUGCCUUAAACUAAAGUUCAAGGUUAAGUACAUACAAAUAGUUGCGGUUCAGUUCAAAUCCAAAACUUUUUUAUUUUUAUGUUCCUAAUGCAUAAAAAUGUUUAAAGAAAAAGGGAUAUAUGCUAAAAGAGGAUACUUAUCCUCAAUGCCUUCUCUAGCAUGGCUAUACGUAAAUAAUUUUAAUUUGCAUAUCGGGGAAAAGCAUAUAAAUAUCGCCAGAAUGAUUAUAAUAACCAAUUAAAAUAUUUUAGAACUGUGUCUCAACAUUGUAGUUCCUGACACCUUUGGUCUUUUACCUAAUACAAUUUUUAGACUUAAUGUAGUUUCUGAACUUUGACUUUCUUCGACUUGUGUCCGUGAGCAUUUAAAGAAAUCGAUUAGUUAAUCUCGAAAAGUUUUAUCUUUGUUCUCUUUCGUCCAAAAUUUACAUUUGAUCAAAAUUUAGAGGAGGCUAAUCAUCUCCAUUUUGAUAGAUGAAAACGCCAGAGUCUUAUUUUAAUCAUUUGUAUCACACCAAAGAAAAUAAUAUUUUCGUACGUAAUUUAGUUGCUCCACGUAGGUUUUACGGGAUCUGUUUGAUUUUUCGCCCAGAAAUUUGUAUUUUUUUAUGUCUUUAUGAAAGAAAUCCAUGAAUUUAUUAAAAUUGUGAAAUAUAAUUGUAUAACGCUAAGUCCCACGCUAAGUUCCAUAAAUACAACCCCCGAUUGUUUAAAUUAUCCGCUUGUGUGUGAUACAAUGAAAAUUGUUUUUAAUAUUACUUUGUAUUUAGGAUCAAUGGUCUACAUUUUACAUCUUUUCAUGUGAACAAUUUUAUUCUCAGUACAGAUUUUUAUAAACUUCGAACUAACUUCAAAUUUUCGGACGCUGACAACUUUUAAGAGCCAUUUACAAAAGAACAUCCAAAAGUAAACCGGUUAUUUUGUUAUUAAAAUCUUAAGCUUCAAACUAUUCUGUAGCUUGAUAUGUGAUUUCCGCUACCUUUUUUCCGCGUCUUCCAUCGAAAUAAUUUGCAAGAAUUCAUAGUCCCAUACUUUGCGUAGCACAUCAGUUGUAAAAUCUAAUUAAAAUCUGAGAGAAAUAUGUUUCUACCGAUUCUACGUGGCAUUGUUUUGAUUGAAAAAUGCUACCCAGCCCGUUUUCAGAUGAACUUUGAACGCUUAGACUAUACUAGAACAAAAACUCAAAUUCCUGCAAAACAUUUUCCCCUGUCUUCGUUUGUAUUUCCAGUCACUUUAAUUGCUUUCCAUGAAUGAGAGGUAAAGACUGGUCAUUUAUGACAAAUUUUUAAUUUUAAGAUACCGAUUGAUAAAUAUGUUAUGUAAAUUAUAUGCAUUAUGUGAUCUAUUAAGAGAAAAAUAAAAAACAUUUUUGAAUCUGUUUUUGGUAAUACAAAAUUGUCUCAUUUUUGCACCUUUCUUUUUUAACUCUCGGGUCUCAUUCAUUUUAAAUUUCUUGGAAUUUAAUAGUUCAAUUAUAUAGAUGGUUAAAAAUUAACGAUGAAAAUCACACGAUGAAAACUUUUUGAAUUUCUACUUUAUCGUGCGUUCAUUUUACUGUUUUUAAUUACUUUUGUUAGUAGUUUACAAAAUGAAAAAACUAUGUAUACCCACCCCGAUUUGGUAUGGUCAAUGCUUAUGAAGACAUCACUUAUCACUCAUCAGUAACCACGGUGAUUGACGUCACCAUCUUUCGCAGUGUAUACCAUCUGAACGUAUUUAUGCUAAAAGGAACCAUGUGCACAGGGUUUACGUGCACCAUAGUUCCUUUUAGCAUAAAUACGUCCAUAUUGCUCCUAAACUUAAAAUCAAUCAAUGAGGCGCUAUUUGCCCUUGCUAUACCUACUCUACGUAAAUACAUCAGUCGUAAACAAUAAUGGAGGAAGCCGUGGUAUGCAUCAUGUCUUCGUGGUAAGUGAUGUCAACAGGGUGGCAUGAAAUGCGAGAAAGAAAUGAAAGAUUGGAAAUUUCAGUGAAAUAUUUCAUGAAAUUUCACGAGGCUAUGAAAUGUAUCACAUUUUUCAGGGGCGAGAGUAUGCAACCCGCACUCAGACACACAGUAAUAGAAGAAAGUCACAAUUUUUAAAUUUUGCGAAACAUGAAAAGGAAUCUGUAUUUUUCAAUAUCUUUCAUAACUUUCUUGAAUUUCAUGAAAUAUUUCACGUGAAAUUUCAAGAUUUUAUUUCUCAUGAAAUUGUGUCACCCUGGAUGUCAAUCGUAGUGUUUUUUGAACGGUCAGAUCUCCGUAAAUAUUGAAAAAACAAUAUUGAAUUGAUGUUUGGAUGGAUUCAUUUAUUAGCCAAUCUGUAGGAAUUAUAACUAUCAAAAUACGAGUCCAUUAAUUGCGCGACCGUUGUUGCAGUUACAUGUAUCAACCCGGAAAUAACUUUAUCAUGCAGUUGAAAGAUUCUUUCACACGAUUACGGAAAAAAGAGUGCUGAUUGCACAAAGAAAUUCGAAAAUGAGAAUUUUGACAAACUGCACCAAUAUAAUGGAAGCUUUUAACUCAUAUCCGGUGAGGUGCAACCAUAAAUUAUUUGCACAGUACCCACCAACGGCCGUAGUAACAUUUUACUGACAAUUUCGGAUUAAAUUUGGAAUUUAUUGCAAUAAAAGUUCAAUUUCUUUUUUCUUUUUUACAUCAAUGUAUUCCUAUUUUAAACAAUCGAUUAAAUGAGUUUCGUCCGUGUAUAAGAAAAAUAGGUUCUUUCUUUUACAAAGAAAAUUAGCUACUUGUUUCAAUUUCAUUACAAUAAUCGCAAUCAAAGGAUCCCCUUCAAUCAGAUGGUAGGCAACUUGCAUAGCAAUUCUAUGCAGAGUCUAUGGCUUCACCAUGUAAACAACAUUUAUUGCAAUCUAUGCUAAGUGGGUGGGGCCAACCCUGAUGCUAACACUAUUUUUUUUUCAAAGGGGACAAAUGAGAAUUCCGUUGAAAGUAGGACAAACUCGUUUAAAUCAAAACUUUACAAUUUUAUUUCUACCCUCUCAGAGUGGUACCUAUAUCACAGGUUACCAUGCCGGUAGAAGAGACAUUACGCUUGGCGAUUAUGCGUGGCUGCGUGGAAACGCCGUCGGCCUAUAUUAUUAUGAUCCAUCGCUGCGAUAGGUUUCUUAGUUGUUGUAAGUUGUUGAGCUGUAAGGGAAGCGAGCUGCUGGGGGCUCGGCCUUGGGAGCAAGGAAUCGACCACUGUAGAAAUAAAAAUCCCUUGUCAGCUGAAUAUUUUUCAUCGACAAAUAACUUGAACGUCGAUUAAUUUGUAACGUAGCAGGGCCAAAUGGACCGCGUUAAGCAGAAAGGAACCAAGCCACAUCAGCUAUUGCCAAAUUUAAUCGAGCAAUUUAAUUUUUUAUAUUAAAACGGUUGUUCGGAUUUUUGUGCAAACAGUGAAUGUUCUGCACAGUACGUAUAGUCCAGUCAUUCUAGCUUUUUACCUCGGACAAAUUAGCACAAACUUUUCCUUUGGUAUAUAGGGUCUCUAGGUACCCAAUAAGACAGAAAAAAAAGUUUACCAAAAAAUUCCACCGGGAAAGUGGUCAAAUCGCAGUUUUUCAAAAUGGCGGCUUACGACGAUUUUCAAAGAGGACGUACAUGCGGUUUUCCCUUUAUAACUCAAAAUUAAUGCGUCAAACAAAAAAAUUGCUAGAGAUCUUUUUGAAAGAUCAUAAAAUUUUGAUUAAGAAUCAUAUACAAAACUUUGGCUUUUAUUAUUUUUUUCUUUCCGAAUUUCACUAUUUAAAAACACCAACCGGCAAAAUCUGCUGAAAAUUUACGAUUUUUUGCGUUCUUGACCAAUUUUAGGUCAAAAUAAUGAAUUUAAGGUUAAAAACAACGACACCCCUGAAAAGUACGCUAAAUUUUACGUAAGUACACCCAUACAUUUUACCUUUUCAUCUUUUAUGACCUCAUUGUGAGACGAAUCAUUCAAAAGCAUGAAGUCAAUAUUUAACAACAAAUUCAGCUGUUUUUUCCCGUUUCCAGCGCUUUUGCUCAAUUAUUUUUCGACAAAAGUAUGACUUAUAUAUACUUUUUAGAAAGGUAAUAAAAUUUGCAAGACAAAUAACACCCUGGUUUUCCUUUAAAUUUUACAACAUGUACCUGAAAAGCGUAUUUAAGGGAAUAACGCCUGACGCCUAACGCCAACUGAUUUCUCUAGAAAUUUCAGAAUUUCAACGAUUUUCGGCUUUUUGACAGCUGGAAACUAAGAAUACGAUUCAACAAUGGUAAUGAUCGUUUAGAGCAUAAAAUUUCCAACAAAUUCCAUA